CCUGACGCAGCGACGCCGCGUGAGUNMUGAAGGCUUUCGGGUCGUAAAGCUCUGUCAAGUGGGAAGAWCCCGCGCCGUACAAAUWGUGCGGUGCGCUGACGGUACCACUGADGGDWGCACCGGCUAACUCCGUGCCAGCAGCCGCGGUAAUACGGGGGGUGCAAGCGUUAUUCGGAAUCAUUGGGCGUAAAGAGCGCGUAGGCGGUCUUCUAUGUCAGGUGUGAAAGCCCGGGGCUCAACCCCGGAAGUGCAUUUGADACUGGGAGACUUGAGUAUGGGAGAGGGAAGUGGAAUUCCUGGUGUAGCGGUGAAAUGCGUAGAUAUCAGGAGGAACACCGGUGGCGAAGGCGACUUCCUGGACCAAUACUGACGCUGAGGCGCGAAGGCGUGGGGAGCAAACAGGAUUAGAUACCCUGGUAGUCCACGCAGUAAACGUUGAACACUAGGUGUAGCGGGGUAUUGASCCCUGCUGUGCCGCAGUUAACGCAUUAAGUGUUCCGCCUGGGGAGUACGACCGCAAGGUUAARRCUCAAAGGGAUUGACGG
rnacentral:rRNA from 1 species